CCGACCUUAGCUCAGUUGGUAGAGCGGAGGACUGUAGUAAGCUUAUAGCAAUCCUUAGGUCGCUGGUUCGAAUCCGGCAGGUCGGA
rnacentral:tRNA from 1 species